rnacentral:rRNA from 1 species
UGAGGAAUAUUGGUCAAUGGGCGAGAGCCUGAACCAGCCAAGUCGCGUGAAGGAUGAAGGUUCUAUGGAUUGUAAACUUCUUUUGUCCGAGGGUAAAAAAGGCUACGUGUAGCUUCUUGCAAAUAUCGGACGAAUAAGCAUCGGCUAACUCCGUGCCAGCAGCCGCGGUAAUACGGAGGAUGCAAGCGUUAUCCGGAAUUAUUGGGUUUAAAGGGUGCGUAGGCUGUUUUGCAAGUCAGGGGUGAAAGCCCGGAGCUCAACUCCGGAACUGCCUUUGAUACUGCGAGGCUGGAAUACGGAUGCCGUGGGAGGAAUGAGUAGUGUAGCGGUGAAAUGCAUAGAUAUUACUCAGAACACCGAUUGCGAAGGCAUCUCACGAAUCCGUCAUUGACGCUGAGGCACGAAAGCGUGGGGAUCAAACAGGAUUAGAUACCCUGGUAGU